GUAACUAGGACAUGGCCCUUCACUCUCUUCCAUCCAACCACUCAGAAACUCUUUGAUUCACUAAGCUCUAGGCAAUCUUUUAAUGUUAUUUGUCAAGUGCAAAGAUUCUCCAAAUCAGUACGGGAGAGUUCAUCAAGGACAUGAAUUGAAUGCAGUGGUAUUAAGGUCUUACAUUGUUUGCUCCUUCUCACCCAUGGUAUUCUCUGAGCCUUAGAAGAGUUUAUAUAAAUCGGGCGAUGAAAGGAGACAGAGACAGAGACCCAUAUUG